CGUGCCUACGGGGGGCAGCAGUGGGGAAUAUUGCACAAUGGGCGAAAGCCUGAUGCAGCAACGCCGCGUGAAGGAAGACGGUUUUCGGAUUGUAAACUUCUAUCAAUAGGGAAGAAAGAAAUGACGGUACCUAAAUAAGAAGCCCCGGCUAACUACGUGCCAGCAGCCGCGGUAAUACGUAGGGGGCAAGCGUUAUCCGGAAUUACUGAAUGUAAAGUGAGAGUAGGCGGCAAGGUAAGCGAUAUGUGAAAGCCUUAGGCUUAACCAAAGGAGUGCAUACCGAACUA
rnacentral:rRNA from 1 species